AAUUGAAGCAGAGGACAGUGGCGGACGGGUGAGUAACGCGUGAGGAACCUGCCUUUCAGAGGGGGACAACAGUUGGAAACGACUGCUAAUACCGCAUAACACAUAGGUGUCGCAUGGCACUUAUGUCAAAGAUUUAUCGCUGAAAGAUGGCCUCGCGUCUGAUUAGCUAGUUGGUGAGGUAACGGCCCACCAAGGCGACGAUCAGUAGCCGGACUGAGAGGUUGAACGGCCACAUUGGGACUGAGAUACGGCCCAGACUCCUACGGGAGGCAGCAGUGGGGAAUAUUGGGCAAUGGGCGCAAGCCUGACCCAGCAACGCCGCGUGAAGGAAGAAGGCUUUCGGGUUGUAAACUUCUUUUGUCAGGGACGAGUAGAAGACGGUACCUGACGAAUAAGCCACGGCUAACUACGUGCCAGCAGCCGCGGUAAUACGUAGGUGGCAAGCGUUGUCCGGAUUUACUGGGUGUAAAGGGCGUGUAGCCGGGAGGGCAAGUCAGAUGUGAAAUCCACGGGCUCAACUCGUGAACUGCAUUUGAAACUACUCUUCUUGAGUAUCGGAGAGGCAAUCGGAAUUCCUAGUGUAGCGGUGAAAUGCGUAGAUAUUGGGAGGAACACCAGUGGCGAAGGCGGAUUGCUGGACGACAACUGACGGUGAGGCGCG
rnacentral:rRNA from 1 species